rnacentral:rRNA from 1 species
GGUCAGGCUGAAGACCUUACCCGAUUAGCUGAGAGGUGGUGCAUGGCCGUCGUCAGUUCGUACUGUGAAGCAUCCUGUUAAGUCAGGCAACGAGCGAGACCCACGUCCACAGUUGCCAGCAUACCCGUCCGGGGUGAUGGGUACACUGUGGAGACCGCCGCUGCUAAAGCGGAGGAAGGAGUGGGCAACGGUAGGUCAGUAUGCCCCGAAUCUCCCGGGCUACACGCGGGCUACAAUGGUUGGUACAAUGGGCAUCUACCCGAAAGGGGAAGGAAAUCUCUUAAAGCCAAUCGUAGUUCGGAUUGAGGGCUGCAACUCGCCCUCAUGAAGCUGGAAUCCGUAGUAAUCGCGUUUCAACAGAACGCGGUGAAUACGUCCCUGCUCCUU